AUGGCGAGUUUGCCCGCAGUGACGUGCGUUGCGAGGCCCAUUUUCUUCAUUGCAUGAUGCAGCUCUGAUGCUGGAUCGGUGUAGCGUGAAGCACUUGCACUGUGUCCAUGCAGAUUUGAUACUGAACUGUGAAGGGGGAAGUCUGCUUAUCGUUCUGUAUCCUCGCCUCGUUUUCACCCGAAAUAUAAAGAAGAUACAGCUUCGAUAAACACCGAGUUGGCAGUAUAGACUAUGUCGAGAGAAGCAAACUACUACACCAAUCCCUUUACGUGCGCUGUCAGUUAUGAAUUUCGACACAAUUCCUUCUCACAGUAGUUAGCAGAUAAAAUAGGCUGGUAUGUAUGCAAAAUUUCUCAACAGCAGGGUUGCUAGUGUGAGAGUGCUUUUUGGUGGGGGGAAUAUCUUUAAUGUUCCAGGUCGAUCUUGUCACGCUGUUUUCUCGUCACUUCCUCUUUGUGGCAUGCGAUCUUGAUUGAUUCUAGAAAAGAUAGAUUUAUCAUUCAACUGCGUUCCGUAAUUUGGAUUGAUAAACGUGAAAAAUUCAUUGAAGGAAUGUUGUGUGGUAAAUGUUUGAUACCCUCAGCAUUGCGUCGAAUUUUGAACCUCUGAGAUCUGGGAGCUUCAUAGUGGACCCGUGCACCGAAUGUGUUGUAAUGAUGGGAGUUAGAUACUCUUGAAUUAAAACCUCGUAAUUAAUCACAAGCUUGUACGUCGUGUUGAAGUGAAUCUAAAGUCUAAACUCCUUUCAGCACGAGCGACAUCUUCUGACACGAUGAGAAACUCUAAGUAUUAUUUUUAUUUCAAGAACGGUCUCCAUUGUCACCUGUAAAUUUGUGUUUAUUUAAAAUCUCUCUCUGUUGUCUUUCUAAAUAAUUCUUUUAUCCUCUCUGUCUCAUUGCAGGAUGCGGGUGACAAUUCUGCAAAGCUGUGGCGCAGAAAUUCUGCAUGGGACGAUUAGCUGCUCGGGAAUUUAAGUGACACGUGGGAGAAGUGUGGCUCAAGUUUGUUGCUGUCCAAUAUUAGUUGAAGAGAAAUUUGUCGUGGGUUGCAAUUGCUGCAUCUGAGAAGCAACGGAGACGGUCAACAAGCUCAUGGUUAGAGUUUGUUGACACAUGGAAUUUAGAGGGGCCGAAAGCAGUGUGAUUUCAAGCGGCAAACUCUACUUUCAGCUGAAAAGCGGAUUCACGAUCAUCCAUUGUCACGAGCCUCAUUCGCGAUUAGAGCUGUGAAAUUGUUUGAAGUGCAUUGGUUUAAAACUUCUAUUUGUCGAAGACCUUUCAUGAAUGAGCAAGCUCGUAGGCGCAGUUUUCUGCCCAAAUUGCACCAGUCCAAGGAAAUUUAAUUGCAGGGGUACAGGUAUUCUUCAUUAUUACGGGCGAAUAUGAAAUUAAGUGCGUUGUUCUUAAUCGAGCAGAGAUUUAAUUGCAAAAGUAAGGAAGGAUCUGAAAGCAAAAAAUUUAUGGAUCUGAGCUGUGUUAUUAGGUUCCAACACAUGCAUGGCGAUUGUUUGUAGCACUAAAAGGUCGGACAAGCAUAAUGUUGAUUUGCUUUUUAGUCCCCUUGCACUAUUGUCUGGAUCUCACUGCUGCGCUGAAUUACUAUGCAAAUUAACAGACUCCGGAUGGGACUUUACAUAUGACGGACUCCUUUGUUCGAAGUUUCUUGAAUAAUUUCACAUCCAAGUGUCUA